rnacentral:misc_RNA from 1 species
AUUUGAAAUAGUUCAUUAACAUAAUCUGCAAUUACAGGUGAUUUGUUUGCUAUGACAUUUCGCAAAAAUUGGAAUCAUUCGGACCUCAUCCUGUUGAGCUGAUUCAAAGCCGGCUGUAGAAUGUUGUACAGCACCCAAAGAAUGGCUGGUGCUACGACAAACAGCAGAAGCUGGCCCCUGCUAUCACUUGAAGAAGCAUCAGCA